GGCGGACGGGUGAGUAACGCGUGGGUAACCUGCCUCAUACAGGGGGAUAACAGUUAGAAAUGCUGCUAAUACCGCAUAAGACCACAGCACCGCAUGGUGCAGGGGUAAAAACUCCGGUGGUAUGAGAUGGACCCGCGUCUGAUUAGGUAGUUGGUGGGGUAACGGCCUACCAAGCCGACGAUCAGUAGCCGACCUGAGAGGGUGACCGGCCACAUUGGGACUGAGACACGGCCCAA
rnacentral:rRNA from 1 species